rnacentral:rRNA from 1 species
CCUGGCUCAGGAUGAACGCUGGCGGCGUGCCUAAUACAUGCAAGUCGAGCGAACGGAUAAGGAGCUUGCUCCUUUGAAGUUAGCGGCGGACGGGUGAGUAACACGUGGGUAACCUACCUAUAAGACUGGAAUAACUUCGGGAAACCGGAGCUAAUGCCGGAUAACAUUUGGAACCGCAUGGUUCUAAAGUAAAAGAUGGUUUUGCUAUCACUUAUAGAUGGACCCGCGCCGUAUUAGCUAGUUGGUAAGGUAACGGCUUACCAAGGCAACGAUACGUAGCCGACCUGAGAGGGUGAUCGGCCACACUGGAACUGAGACACGGUCCAGACUCCUACGGGAGGCAGCAGUAGGGAAUCUUCCGCAAUGGACGAAAGUCUGACGGAGCAACGCCGCGUGAGUGAUGAAGGUUUUCGGAUCGUAAAACUCUGUUAUUAGGGAAGAACAAAUGUGUAAGUAACUGUGCACAUCUUGACGGUACCUAAUCAGAAAGCCACGGCUAACUACGUGCCAGAG